GGCGAACGGGUGAGGAACACGUGAGAAACCUGCCCCGAACUUCGGGAUAACAGUUGGAAACGAUUGCUAAUACCGAAUACCUCUGCGAAGUGGCAUCACUUUGCAAAGAAAGAAUUUCGGUUCGGGAGGGUCUCGCGGCCUAUCAGCUAGUUGGUGGGGUAACGGCCUACCAAGGCAUCGACGGGUAGCUGGUCUGAGAGGAUGAUCAGCCACACUGGGACUGAGACACGGCCCAGACUCCUACGGGAGGCAGCAGUGGGGAAUCUUGUGCAAUGGGCGAAAGCCUGACACAGCAACGCCGCGUGCGGGAAGAAGGCCUUCGGGUCGUAAACCGCUUUCAGCAGGAACGAAAAUGACGGUACCUGCAGAAGAAGGUGCGGCCAACUACGUGCCAGCAGCCGCGGUGACACGUAGGCACCAAGCGUUGUCCGGAUUUAUUGGGCGUAAAGAGCUCGUAGGCGGUUCAGCAAGUCGGGUGUGAAAACUCUGGGCUUAACCCAGAGCCUGCACCCGAAACUGCUGUGACUAGAGUUCGGUAGGGGAGCGGGGAAUUCCUGGUGUAGCGGUGAAAUGCGCAGAUAUCAGGAGGAACACCGGUGGCGAAGGCGCCGCUCUGGGCCGAAACUGACGCUGAGGAGCGAAAGCGUGGGUAGCAAACAGGAUUAGAUACCCUGGUAGUCCACGCCGUAAACGUUGGGCACUAGGUGUGGGUCUCUAACCAACGAGAUCCGCGCCGUCGCUAACGCAUUAAGUGCCCC
rnacentral:rRNA from 1 species